rnacentral:tRNA from 2 species
GCGGUCGUGCUGGAACGGCAGACAGUCACGGUUGAGGGCCGUGUGAGGAAACUCGUGUGGGUUCAAAUCCCAUCGACCGCA